rnacentral:rRNA from 1 species
GGCCCAGACUCCUACGGGAGGCAGCAGUGAGGAAUUCUUGCGCAAUGGAGGAACUCUGACGCAGCCACGCGCGUCCGGAAGACGCCCUAUGGGUGUAACGGCUUUUGGAUGGGAAGAAAGGUUGGGUUUCGACCUGAUUUGACGGUACCAUUUGAAUAAGCACGGCUAACUCCGUGCCAGCAGCCGCGGUAAUACGGAGGGUGCAAGCGUUGUCCGGAAUCAUUGGGUGUAAAGGGUGCGUAGGCGGGCGUCUAAGUCCGGGGUGAAAUCUUGCCGCUUAACGGUAAAAUUGCCCUGGAUACUGGGCGUCUUGAGCAUGACAGAGGUUGGUGGAAUUCGUAGUGUAGCGGUGAAAUGCAUAGAUAUUACGGAGAACACCGGUGGCGAAAGCGGCCAACUGGGUCAUUGCUGACGCUAAGGCACGAGAGCGUGGGGAGCGAACAGGAUUAGAUACCCUGGUAGUCCACGCUGUAAACGAUGUAUGCUAGUUGUGGGGCCGCAAGGUUCCGUGACGCAGUUAACGCAGUAAGCAUACCACCUGGGGAGUACGUUCGCAAGAAUGAAACUCAAAGGAAUUGACGGGGGCCCGCACAAGCGGUGGAGCAUGUGGCUUAAUUCGAUGCAACGCGAAGAACCUUACCCGGGCUAAAUCUCGGGCGACCGCCCCCGAAACGGGGCUUCCCUUCGGGGCGCCCGCGAAGGUGCUGCAUGGCUGUCGUCAGCUCGUGCCGUGAGGUGUUGCCUUAAGUGGCGCAACGAGCGCAACCCCUGUGGUUAGUUACCAGCACGUCAAGGUGGGGACUCUAGCCAGACUGCCUACGCAAGUAGUGAGGAAGGUGGGGACGACGUCAAGUCAUCAUGGCCCUUACGUCCGGGGCUGCACACGUGCUACAAUGGAUGCUACAACGGGAAGCUACCUGGCAACAGGAUGCAGAUCCCCAAAGGCAUUCUCAGUUCGGAUUGGAGUCUGCAACUCGACUCCAUGAAGGUGGAAUCGCUAGUAAUCGCGUAUCAGCAAUGACGCGGUGAAUACGUUCCCGGGCCUUGUACACACCGCCCGUCAAGCGAUGGAAGUCAGGAGUACCUGAUGUCGGUAGGCCAAUCCGUCUCAGACGG